AACACGAUCAACUCUAGUUAAGAGUUGGGAUUGACCUCAUAUGCUUUUAGCGUAUCUGGUUUGAAUUUAUCAAGUUGAUGAGCUUCCCAGCAUUGCUCAAUGUGUGCUAGCGAGACAUUCGUCCCGAUCUCACAUUACGGCUUUGUUGCAAGGCUCUAUUCACAACUUUUUAUUUAUUUUAUCAA
rnacentral:misc_RNA from 1 species